GAAUGGAGGGGAGGUCGACGCCUUGGAGAUGGAAACGAUUUAAACAGACUUGUAGCAAAUCCUUCAUGGUGGAGCAGGAAUAGGAAGCGUUUGACUUACUUUGGCCAGUGCAUAUGAGCAAACAUGAUGUUCAGCAAGUCUCAGCAGAUGCUUGAAGAGUCAUUGUCUGUUUCUACCAACUCUCUUGCUCUUUUCUGUUGCCAAAAGAGAAAGGACAAAAGAAACUGCCUAUUCAGCUAUACCCUGAGCUUCUCUGGACAAAGGCUGAGUCUUACCUACUUUUCUAUCCCCAUUGUUUGGCUGAAGGCUUGUUCCACGGUGUGAGGAAAGUUCAAGAGGGGAAAAAAUAAAAGACUAGUGACAUAAUUUAAGAAAAGGAUGAUUGCAAUGCAUCCUGAAGCUGCCUAUCUCCAAAUAUUCUCUCCUAUAGGCAGGGCCAACAGGAAAAGAGUUCUCCUGCUGCACUUUUGGAUUUUCCUCUUGAGCAAUGCUUAUGCAACUACAGCCGAGAAUUACUGCCAUGAAGCCAGUCAUCAAUGUUAUGGAAGCUUCCCUCAACAUUUGAGGAGUAGUACUUCCCCUGCAUUAUAAACUUACACAAUAAAAACUUACAAAAGUAAGUUAAGAA
rnacentral:lncRNA from 1 species